rnacentral:snoRNA from 1 species
AAGCCAGCCAAUAAUUCUGCUUACCUUAUGUGUUCUGCAGAAAUUUAGAGAAAGCUGGCAAUAGUAAAGCCAUGUUACGAGCCUUAAAGACAUUGAAGUCGUUAAGGUCCCUGAAAAUGGCUAUAAGA